GCCUUGGUAGCUCAAUUGGCUAGAGCGUGGGACUUUUAAAAAAAUAUUAUUCACCGGAGUCCUCCGGAGAAACACUUAACAGAGGUAUCCCAAGGUUGCGGGUUCGACCCCCGCCUGAGGCG
rnacentral:tRNA from 1 species